UAGGGAAUCUUCCACAAUGGGCGCAAGCCUGAUGGAGCAACGCCGCGUGAGUGAAGAAGGUCUUCGGAUCGUAAAACUCUGUUGUAAGAGAAGAACGUGUGUGAGAGUGGAAAGUUCACACAGUGACGGUAACUUACCAGAAAGGGACGGCUAACUACGUGCCAG
rnacentral:rRNA from 1 species